ACAGAGGGUGCAAGCGUUAAUCGGAAUUACUGGGCGUAAAGCGCACGUAGGCGGCUUGGCAAGUUGGGUGUGAAAUCCCCGGGCUCAACCUGGGAACUGCAUUUGUGACUGCAUGGCUAGAGUGCGGCAGAGGGGGAUGGAAUUCCGCGUGUAGCAGUGAAAUGCGUAGAUAUGCGGAGGAACACCGAUGGCGAAGGCAAUCCCCUGGGCCUGCACUGACGCUCAUGCACGAAAGCGUGGGGAGCAAACAGGA
rnacentral:rRNA from 1 species